AUGAGGGAGUGCCACAUUUUCUUUCAUUUUUCCUUUUCAUUUUCGGAUAGAGAGAGACAGAGAAAGAAAAGAAGAAGAAAAAAGGGAAAAGAGAAAGGGGAAGAACAAAGAGGAGCUAGAGUUUGGAGGAGACAUUGAAGAGGUUCUGGAGUUAGUAGUUCGCGUGUGAUCUUACUUGGAGUUUCUUCUGAGUUUUUGGAGAUUAGGUAGUAAGUCGAUGCUCUGGUCAUGUAACACUGGGUAGACUAGUUAUUUGAACUCAUGUUUCUAUUCCGUUAUGUAUUACGCUUGAUUUGAGAACCUGUUAUGUUAUUACUUGAUGUUUGAUAGGCUCUUAAGCCAAAUAUUCCGAAUUAUGUUUUAAUUUAUGUUGAUAUGAUUAUUGAGACUUGAUCAUGGUAUGGGACAUGGAUCAUUUUAUGAAA